UAGUAAGAAACGAUUUUUUGUACUCAGUUUCGGCCUGAACUUAGGCCUCCUGGGCCCUUACUAA
rnacentral:tRNA from 1 species